UUAUUCACCGUUCUUCCUCGACAUUUUUCUACUUCUAUCUUCCUACUUUCUCUAUUACGAAGCAUUAUCAAAAAUGGAAGGCACUUUGUAUUGUCAUUAUGGUAAAAGGGAAGAACUGAUGAUUUUGUGUUCACAAAAUAACCUAGGUCGUAGGUAUCUUGGAUGCCAAUAUGGUCGAGAUUGUAAUUUGGGGAUUUUGAAGAGGAUAAAAAACACGAGGAAGAAAAGGAGAAGAUGAGGAAAAAGUACAGAAUGUUGCCGGUCAUUGUGAUACUCGUUUGGAUUGUUAGAGAGUUUCUUAUGUAAUAUUUGCUGUGUGUGUUGAAAUUUAGUUGGUUGAAGGAGCUAUUUUGUGUAUUGGCAGUUAUAUAAACCAGUAGCUCUUUUGAAUGUUGUAAUGUAAGACACUUAGCUGAUACAAGUUGAACCACUUUUUGACAAAUAUUUCAGCAACAUUUUGACAUGACUAAUGUUCUCCCCAACCGCAACUACAAGACACAAAUACAAACUGUACAAUAAACUCUACCAAGCAAAUACAAUCUGUAGAAUAAACUGUAAAUUUUAUUGCUCAAACCAACGCAAUAGUCACAAAAUAAAAUGUCAAGAUUACAUUUGAAAAAUUAAUUUAAUAGCAAAUAACUAAAACUGCAGUUUUAGGUUCAUGAAAACCAAAUUAGACAAAACACUUGAACAAACUACAUAAGUGAAAUCUUCUCUACUGAGCCCUUUUCUUCUUCAUUUGCAUCUCUUUUUGUUGUUGAAGUUGGUUUCCACUUAUAGCAGCUUUUCCCUUCCAUUUCAAUUCAGGUGGCUAAAAUUCAAGAUCAAUAUUGGUAAAUGAUGCAUUCUUUAAUUGUCUCCCACUAGAGAUGACUCUUGCACUUAGUGC